rnacentral:rRNA from 1 species
AUUGAACGCUGGCGGCAGGCCUAACACAUGCAAGUCGAACGAGUGGCGGACGGGUGAGUAAUGUCUGGGAAACUGCCUGAUGGAGGGGAAAACAACUGGAAACGGUAGCUAUUACCCCAUAUCAUCCGAUGACCCCCGAUGGGUUUGGCUUGUGGGUGGGGUAACGGCGCACCAAGGCGACGAUCCCUAGCUGGUCUGUGAGGAUGACCAGCCACACUGGAACUGAGAAACGGUCCAGACUCCUACGGGAGGCAGCAGGGGGGAAUAUUGCACAAUGGGCGCAAGCCUGAUGCAGCCAUGCCGCGGGUAUGAAGAAGGCCUUCGGGUUGUAAAGUACUUUCAGCGGGGAGGCGUUACCCGCAGAAGAAGUACCGGCUAACUCCGUGCCAGCAGCCGCGGUAAUUC